UGUCUUUUUCUUCUUUUCCCGGAACACCGAGUGCAAGUACAUCUGACAUCAAUGAAGACGGUGGCUUCUGGAGUUUCUGAAGAACUUACGGACUGCGAGGACAAUCAUCUGACAUCAACGAAGACGGUGGCUUCUUGAGUUUUUAAAGAACUUACGGACUGCAAGGACAUUCAUCUGACAUCAAUGAAGACGGUGGCUUCUGGAGUUUCUGAAGAACUUACGAGAGUGAAGAGAGGACCCCCCCCCCCCAUCAAUUAAGACCCCGGCUGCCUAUGCUUCUGAAAAACUUGUGGACGUUUUCAGCCUUGGGGAAGUAUAGCAGACUUAGCAGCCUUUGGGACGUAUAGCAGACUUAACAGACUUAGCCGACUUGGGGCGGUGGCUGGGGUGCCGAGCGCCCCCCCCCCAGCAACAUCAGCCCCCCGACUUAGCAGACUUAGCAGACUUAGCAGACUUAGCAGACUUAGCAGGCCUAUAGACUUAGCAGACUAUCGGCAGUGGCUGCAGGGCCAGUCUCACUGCCAGGAGUGCAGUGAGAGCCGGCAGCCACCUAUCGGCCGCUUAGCAGACUUGGGGACGUUUAGCAGACUUAGCAGACUUGGGGACAUUUAGCAGACUUGGGGAAAAGGCGACACUGCUAUGUAU